rnacentral:rRNA from 1 species
GACGAACGCUGGCGGCGUGCUUAAUACAUGCAAGUCAACUUGACUUUAGAUAGCAAUAUCGUAAAGUAGGGUGGCGCACGGGUGCGUAACGCGUAGGUAAUCUGCCCUGAGGUCUGACAUAACCCGUCGAAAGGCGGGCUAACAUCAGAUGAUAUAUAAUCACGACGUCGUGGAAAAUAUCAAAUCUUCGGAGCCUUGGGAUGAGCCUGCGUCUGAUUAGGUAGUUGGCGGAGUAAUAGCCCACCAAGCCUACGAUCAGUAGCUAGUCUGAGAGGAUGAUCAGCCACACUGGAACUGAGACACGGUCCAGACUCCUACGGGAGGCAGCAGUAAGGAAUAUUGCUCAAUGGGGGAAACCCUGAAGCAGCAACGCCGCGUGAAGGAUGAAAUACUUUUGUAUGUAAACUUCUGUAAGAUGGGAAAAAUAUUCUCCUCGGGAGAAUUGAUUGUACCAUCAGAGUAAGCCCCGGCUAACUACGUGCCAGCAGCCG